rnacentral:rRNA from 1 species
AGAGUUUGAUCCUGGCUCAGAUUGAACGCUGGCGGCAUGCCUUACACAUGCAAGUCGAACGGUAACAGCACUUCGGUGGCUGACGAGUGGCGAACGGGUGAGUAAUACAUCGGAACGUGCCCGAGAGUGGGGGAUAACGCAGCGAAAGCUGUGCUAAUACCGCAUACGAUCUACGGAUGAAAGCAGGGGACCGCAAGGCCUUGCGCUCAUGGAGCGGCCGAUGGCAGAUUAGGUAGUUGGUGGGAUAAAAGCUUACCAAGCCGACGAUCUGUAGCUGGUCUGAGAGGACGACCAGCCACACUGGGACUGAGACACGGCCCAGACUCCUACGGGAGGCAGCAGUGGGGAAUUUUGGACAAUGGGCGAAAGCCUGAUCCAGCCAUGCCGCGUGCAGGAUGAAGG